CGGAUUGGAGUCUGCAACCCGAACUCCAUGAAGCUGGAUUCGCUAGUAAUCGCGCAUCAGCCACGGCGCGGUGAAUACGUUCCCGGGCCUUGUACACACCGCCCGUCCAAGCCAUGGGAGUCGGGAGUGCCUGAAGUGCGUGAGCGCGAGCAGCGCCCUAGGGCAAAACCGAUGACUGGGGCUAAGUCGUAACAAGGUAAC
rnacentral:rRNA from 1 species